rnacentral:rRNA from 1 species
GAUGAACGCUGGCGGCGUGCCUAAUACAUGCACGUCGAGCGAACGGACGAGAAGCUUGCUUCUCUGAUGUUAGCGGCGGACGGGUGAGUAACACGUGGAUAACCUACCUAUAAGACUGGGAUAACUUCGGGAAACCGGAGCUAAUACCGGAUGAUAUUUUGAACCGCAUGGUUCAAAAGUGAAAGACGGUCUUGCUGUCACUUAUAGAUGGAUCCGCGCUGCAUUAGCUAGUUGGUAAGGUAACGGCUUACCAAGGCAACGAUGCAUAGCCGACCUGAGAGGGUGAUCGGCCACACUGGAACUGAGACACGGUCCAGACUCCUACGGGAGGCAGCAGUAGGGAAUCUUCCGCAAUGGGCGAAAGCCUGACGGAGCAACGCCGCGUGAGUGAUGAAGGUCUUCGGAUCGUAAAACUCUGUUAUUAGGGAAGAACAUAUGUGUAAGUAACUGUGCACAUCUUGACGUUACCUAAUCAGAAAGCCACGGCUAACUACGUG